rnacentral:rRNA from 1 species
GACGAACGCUGGCGGCGUGCCUAACACAUGCAAGUCGAGCGAGAAACUUCGGUUUCUAGCGGCGGACGGGUGAGUAACACGUGGGUAACCUGCCUCAAAGAGGGGGAUAGCCUCCCGAAAGGGAGAUUAAUACCGCAUAAUAUCAGGAUCUCGCAUGGGAACUUGAUUAAAGGAGCAAUCCGCUUUGAGAUGGACCCGCGGCGCAUUAGCUAGUUGGUGAGGUAACGGCUCACCAAGGCGACGAUGCGUAGCCGACCUGAGAGGGUGAUCGGCCACAUUGGAACUGAGACACGGUCCAGACUCCUACGGGAGGCAGCAGUGGGGAAUAUUGCACAAUGGGCGAAAGCCUGAUGCAGCAACGCCGUGUGAGGGACGACGGCCUUCGGGUUGUAAACCUCUUUUAGCAGGGAAGAAGCGAAAGUGACGGUACCUGCAGAAAAAGCACCGGCUAACUACGUGCCAGCCGCCGCCGUAACAC